GGUCAUCAAACUAUUUUAAGGGAUUGAUGCUUAUUCUUUGCUAUUUCAUAGUUGCAGCCACUUUCUUUGUGCACGUUGACCAUUCAAAUAGAUCCCCGUCCAUUGCCUUAUCUGGCUGAAAAAGUCUCUAAAAAUUAUGACAUUCAGUUAGAGGUUGAAAUCAAACCUGCUGGCGCAAAGGAUUCAACUGUGGUCACCAAGAGUAAUUUCAAUCACUUAUGUGACAAGCGAAAUAGAAAAGCAUACUUAAUUUUGAAGGCUUUGUGUUGGGCAGCUGUAGAAUAUUUUGUGUUGAAAGUAGUAACUUUUCAAUAUGUUGAAUAUUUAAGACUACUUGAAUACUUAAAGAACAUUUU